GUGACAUUCUGAAGCAGAGCAUUAUACCCUCCCUUCAGAAACUGGGCAGUAUUACAACAGGAAAAUGACACAGAUUUAAGAUGACCUCUAUUAAAAUUUAAAUGGGAAAAAUUGUAAUGAAUCACAUUUUCAAAGUAAUUUUCCUGCCACUUCCGAUCAUGACUGUAGGUGUGAGUGAAUGUGAGGUGGGAAUGGGCUCUGGCAGCCAUAAUCCUGAUUAACAGGUUAAGUGGUUAAGGAGUGAGAGUGAAUAAUAAUUCUGGGAGUUCAGGGUGAGAUAACAAAAUGUUGUUCAAGAUGGGUCACACAACUUCAGUCAUGAAAGACCUAGUGCUCAGUAUAUGGCUCAACUGGCCAUCUGCUAAAGGCAAAGAAAAUAUAAACAGACCAGUCGGAUUUCUCCAUUCUAAACACUUAUAUAAAAUACACAUGUUGCUGGUUAAAUGACAGCUUUAGGUUGUGUAGCUCAAUAAGAAGAUAGCAUCUUUGACUUCCUCUUGUAAGGCAGUCAGACCAUAUUCUGGGUGCUCAGCCAGUUCCUCUUGACCCAGCCGUGCACUGGUCGCAAAUAGGCCUACCCUGUAAAUAGCUAAAGUGAGAUGUAUGCAACCUGCAAGGUGAGAAGAGACAGAGAAGAAGAGACAAUUUGCAAAACCACUGAAACGAUUGACAGUCCCUACAGUCCUCACUGCAAGAGAAGAUUGAAGAUUGCAGGAAGAAGGACGGAGCCUUGGAGAGGAGCGAAGAGCUCUUCAGAACAUUGGAGAAGGAGUUGCAGUGUCAGAAAUCUGAAAACCUCCAUUUGGUGAGGUUAAUGGCCUGCUUGCAGGAAGAGAACCAGAAGGUAUGCAGUAUCCCGCAGAAAAUGCAGAACAAUCGAUAUCAGCUGCACCAAGAGUGGAACACAGUUCCAAAGAACAAAUUUCAAAGGAAGCUGUGGGAUCACGGUGAGCUACAUGAAUCCCUAUUGGCACCCCAAGAUAUGGAGAUCACUCUGAAACAAUUCACAGUGCAGCUCAGUCAACAUAUGAAAGAUUUAGAGAUACAACUGGACGUCCUUCAAAAGAACAACAAAGGCACUGAAGAGGAACUGAAGAGGAGCAACCAUGACCUUGAGCAGAGGCUCCAUUCCAGGCAUCUGGAAGUGGAGAGGCUUGAGACGCAGCUCAAACUACUCAUGAUAGAUCUGGAUUCACUGACCAGCAAGUAUAACGAAAAGCAGUGCCAGCACAAAACCAAGAUGAGCCGGGCAAAGCAAGCAUUUCUGAAGGAGAUCUGUGGGCGGGAUGAAAAGAUCCAAAGGCUGGAGAGGGACCUUAAUCUUCUCAUUAAAAAAUUGGAGAAGGAAAAGGAUCUGGCCAGGAACAUGGGUGAGGUGAACAGUAAGCUGCUGCUUGAAAACAACAGUCUGCAGCCAAGACUUAUCAAAGAGCAGAACAAAGUCACCAGCACCAUGUGUGCAUACUCAGCCAUGCAGCGAAGAGUUGAGUUUCUGGAGAAGGAGAACAGACAGCUGGAGGACAGCGUCCUGGAGAAGUCCAGUGCGGUAGCAAAGCUAGAGUGUGUACUGGGGAGCAAGGAACUGGAAAAGCUCAGUCCUCAGGAAUGGCCGAUUAUUUGCAGAAAGUCCAGCCUGGCGCCUAAAGGAUGUGACCUGAGUGGCCUGCUAGAUCUAAUCAGUACGUCAAAGGUUAAAUGUCUGGAAAAUCUAAGAUCUUCAAUCACAAUGCCACAAAUGUGGAUGUCAGAGCUGGGCUACCUGAACUUGACUUCUUCUCCGCACUCUUCGGACACCCUGGCCCUGUCAGACUGUCCCAGCAUUGAUCGUAAUCAGGAGUAAAAAAAGAAGAAAAAAAGGCAUUUUAUGUGGUAUUUCAAAUGAAUUAAAGAUAUGUAAAUAAUGUUAUUAUUUUUCAAUAAUCAAUUAAAAUAGCCCCCAAAAAGGGCCUGGAAUUUGUAGUCAAUUUAAAUUUUUAUUGAAAAUACUUUAUUGAUGAGCAGAACUAAUAAUAACCACAAUUAAAAAUAAAGCAAACAAAAUGUACCGUACGUUUUCUGCG
ensembl:lncRNA coiled-coil domain-containing protein 30-like